CACUAGCUACCAGCAUGGCCUCCCUCUCCUCUGCCGCCGUGACCGCCCCUUCCUUCGCCGCUGCCCGGCCCGCCCGCGCCGCCGUUGCCAGCCGACGGUCGUCUGUGGUGGUGCGCGCCUCGCUCGGCAAGGCCGCCGGCACCGCCGCCGUGGCCGUGGCUGCCAGCGCCCUGCUUGCCGGCGGCGCCAUGGCCCAGGAGGUGCUCCUGGGCGCCAACGGAGGCGUGCUCGUCUUCGAGCCCAGCGAGUUCUCCGUCAAGGCCGGCGACACCAUCACCUUCAAGAACAACGCCGGCUACCCGCACAACGUGGUCUUCGACGAGGACGAGGUGCCCAGCGGGGUGGACGCCGCCAAGAUCUCGCAGGAGGAGUACCUCAACGCGCCGGGGGAGACCUACUCCGUCACCCUCACCGUGCCGGGAACCUACAGCUUCUACUGCGAGCCGCACCAAGGAGCAGGGAUGGUCGGCAAGGUCACCGUCAACUAAGCAAUCCAUUGUUCGUUCAUCAUCCAGGAUACUGUACUACUGUACCAUGAGAAGCGAGAGCUUGAGCCUAGCUUGCCAUCUCCAAUAUGAUUCUCCUCCAUCCUCGAUCCAUCGUCUCUUGGCAUUUGCUGCUGCCAUGUACUAAAUCGCAU
rnacentral:lncRNA from 1 species